CUAUCGGCAGGCCUAAUACAUGCAAGUCGAGGGGUAGAGAGAGCUUGCUUUCUUGAGACCGGCGCACGGGUGCGUAACGCGUAUGCAACCUACCUUUAUCUGGGGGAUAGCCCGGAGAAAUCCGGAUUAAUACCGCAUAAAAUCACAGAAUAGCAUUAUUUAAUGAUCAAACAUUUAUGGGAUGAAGAUGGGCAUGCGUGUCAUUAGCUAGUUGGCGGGGUAACGGCCCACCAAGGCGACGAUGACUAGGGGAUCUGAGAGGAUGGCCCCCCACACUGGUACUGAGACACGGACCAGACUCCUACGGGAGGCAGCAGUAAGGAAUAUUGGUCAAUGGAGGCAACUCUGAACCAGCCAUGCCGCGUGCAGGAAGACUGCCCUAUGGGUUGUAAACUGCUUUUAUCCGGGAAUAAACCUUUCUACGUGUAGGAAGCUGAAUGUACCGGAAGAAUAAGGAUCGGCUAACUCCGUGCCAGCAGCCGCGGUAAUACGGAGGAUCCAAGCGUUAUCCGGAUUUAUUGGGUUUAAAGGGUGCGUAGGCGGCCUGUUAAGUCAGGGGUGAAAGACGGUAGCUCAACUAUCGCAGUGCCCUUGAUACUGAUGGGCUUGAAUGGACUAGAGGUAGGCGGAAUGAGACAAGUAGCGGUGAAAUGCAUAGAUAUGUCUCAGAACACCGAUUGCGAAGGCAGCUUACUAUGGUCUUAUUGACGCUAAGGCACGAAAGCGUGGGGAUCAAACAGGAUUAGAUACCCUGGUAGUCCACGCCCUAAACGAUGAACACUCGCUGUUGGCGAUACACAGUCAGCGGCUAAGCGAAAGCGUUAAGUGUUCCACCUGGGGAGUACGCCCGCAAGGGUGAAACUCAAAGGAAUUGACGGGGGCCCGCACAAGCGGAGGAGCAUGUGGUUUAAUUCGAUGAUACGCGAGGAACCUUACCCGGGCUUGAAAGUUAGUGAAUGAUCUAGAGAUAGAUCAGUGAGCAAUCACACGAAACUAGGUGCUGCAUGGCUGUCGUCAGCUCGUGCCGUGAGGUGUUGGGUUAAGUCCCGCAACGAGCGCAACCCCUAUGUUUAGUUGCCAGCAUGUAAUGAUGGGGACUCUAAACAGACUGCCUGUGCAAACAGAGAGGAAGGAGGGGACGACGUCAAGUCAUCAUGGCCCUUACGUCCGAGGCUACACACGUGCUACAAUGGAUGGUACAGAGGGCAGCUAGCUGGCAACAGUAUGCGAAUCUCACAAAGCCAUUCACAGUUCGGAUUGGGGUCUGCAACUCGACCCCAUGAAGUUGGAUUCGCUAGUAAUCGCGUAUCAGCAAUGACGUGGUGAAUACGUUCCCGGGCCUUGUACACACCGCCCGUCAAGCCAUGGAAGUUGGGGGUACCUAAAGUAUGUAACCGCAAGGAGCGUCCUAGGGUAAAACCGAUAACUGGGGCUAAGU
rnacentral:rRNA from 1 species